rnacentral:rRNA from 1 species
UACAGAGGGUGCAAGCGUUGUUCGGAAUUACUGGGCGUAAAGCGUACGUAGGCGGCUUUGUAAGUUAGAGGUGAAAGCCUGGUGCUCAACACCAGAACUGCCUUUAAGACUGCAUCGCUUGAACGUCGGAGAGGUGAGUGGAAUUCCGAGUGUAGAGGUGAAAUUCGUAGAUAUUCGGAAGAACACCAGUGGCGAAGGCGGCUCACUGGACGACUGUUGACGCUGAGGUACGAAAGCGUGGGGAGCAAACAGG